GCAAGUCGAGCGAUGAAGCUUCUUCGGAAGUGGAUUAGCGGCGGACGGGUGAGUAACACGUGGUAACCUGCCUCAUAGAGGGGAAUAGCCUUCCGAAAGGAAGAUUAAUACCGCAUAAGAUUGUAAUAUCGCAUGAUAUAGCAAUUAAAGGAGUAAUCCGCUAUGAGAUGGACCCGCGUCGCAUUAGCUAGUUGGUGAGGUAACGGCUCACCAAGGCGACGAUGCGUAGCCGACCUGAGAGGGUGAUCGGCCACAUUGGGACUGAGACACGGCCCAGACUCCUACGGGAGGCAGCAGUGGGGAAUAUUGCACAAUGGGGGAAACCCUGAUGCAGCCAACGCCGCGUGAGUGAUGACGGUCUUCGGAUUGUAAAGCUCUGUCUUCAGGGACGAUAAUGACGGUACCUGAGGAGGAAGCCACGGCUAACUACGUGCCAGCCGCAGC
rnacentral:rRNA from 1 species